rnacentral:rRNA from 1 species
UACGAAGGUGGCAAGCGUUGUUCGGAUUUACUGGGCGUACAGGGAGCGUAGGCGGUUGGGUAAGCCCUUCGUGAAAUCUCCGGGCCUAACCCGGAAAGUGCGGAGGGGACUGCUCGGCUAGAGGAUGGGAGAGGAGCGCGGAAUUCCCGGUGUAGCGGUGAAAUGCGUAGAGAUCGGGAGGAAUACCCGUGGCGAAGGCGGCCAGCUGGGCUACACCUGACACUGAGACGCGAAGGCGUGGGGAGCGAACGGG